UGGGGAAUUUUGGACAAUGGGGGCAACCCUGAUCCAGCCAUGCCGCGUGCGGGAAGAAGGCCUUCGGGUUGUAAACCGCUUUUAGCUGGGAAGAAAAGGCCAUCGUUAAUAGCGGUGGUUCUUGACGGUACCGGCGGAAUAAGCACCGGCUAACUACGUGCCAGCAGCCGCGGUAAUACGUAGGGUGCGAGCGUUAAUCGGAAUUACUGGGCGUAAAGCGUGCGCAGGCGGUUCGUUUUGUUUGCGGUGAAAGCCCCGGGCUCAACCUGGGAAUGGCCGUGAAAACUGGCGAGCUGGAGUGUGGCAGAGGGGGGUGGAAUUCCAGGUGUAGCCGUGAAAUGCGUGGAGAUCUGGAGGGAACACCGAUGGGCGAAGGGCAGCCCCCUGGGCUGACACUGACGCUCAGGCACGAAAGCGUGGGGAGCAAACAGGAUUAGAUACCCUGGUAGUCCACGCCCUAAACGAUGGCAACUGGGUGUUGGGGGAGCGAUUCCUCAGUACCGUAGCUAACGCGUGAAGUUGCCCGCCUGGGGAGUACGGCCGCAAGGUUA
rnacentral:rRNA from 1 species